AUUGAACGCUGGCGGCAGGCCUAACACAUGCAAGUCGAACGAGUGGCGGACGGGUGAGUAAUGUCUGGGAAACUGCCUGAUGGAGGGGGAUAACUGCUGGAAAAGGUGGCUAAUACCGCAUACGAUCAGAUGUGCCCAGAUGGGAUUAGGUAUGUGGUGGGGUAACGGCUCACCAAGGCGACGAUCCCUAGCUGGUCUGAGAGGAUGACCAGCCACACUGGAACUGAGACACGGUCCAGACUCCUACGGGAGGCAGCAGUGGGGAAUAUUGCACAAUGGGCGCAAGUCUGAUGCAGCCAUGCCGCGUGUAUGAAGAAGGCCUUCGGGUUGUAAAGUACUUUCAGCAGGGAGGCGUUACCCGCACAAGAAGCACCGGCUAACUCCGUGCCAGCAGCCGCGGUAAUUC
rnacentral:rRNA from 1 species